rnacentral:rRNA from 1 species
UACAGAGACUGCGAGCGUUAUUCGGAUUCACUGGGCGUAAAGGGUGCGCAGGCGGCCAUGUGUGUGAGGCGUGAAAGCCCGGGGCUUAACCCCCGGAAUUGCACCUCAAACUACAUGGCUAGAGCAUUGGAGAGGGUAGCAGAAUUCAUGGUGUAGCAGUGAAAUGCGUAGAUAUCAUGAGGAACACCUGCGGCGAAGGCGGGUUGCUGGGCUGACACUGACGCUGAAGUGCGAAAGCUAGGGGAGCGAACGGG